CAGAGUUGUAAACUCUCUUAGGCUAUUAAGAAUAGCCUAGUAUAGAGUAUUCCCUACUUAUUUCCCAAGAAGGCAAGCUGUCUUCAUGUCAUUUAUCCUGUAUAGGUUUGAGCACAGUGUGAGCUGAAUCUUCUGUAAUGCCGGCCCUUACAAAAAAAAGAUAGCGUUUUGAAACUGCAGUAAAAUUGCAGUAACUGCAGUCGACUGUGGUAUUUUGGAGCAGUAAUUUCAGAAUAUACUGCACUCUAACUGCAGUUACAAUGCCAAAUUACUGCAGCAAAAAAAAAAAAAAAAAAUCGGUGUUAUUUUGGAAGCAAUAUUUGCAGCAUACUGCAGUUUAUACUGCACUCUGACUGCAAUCUUUUUUUGUAAGGGAGCUGCCACUGGGUAGCUACGGAGAAUAAAUGUGUGGGGGUUUUCUCACCAAAUUUGUAAAGUUAAGAAAUUAAGGUGGAUAUUACUUUUACAUUCUUUUUGUGGUUUUUGUUUUUAGUCUUUAGUCUUUGUAAAGCUAUACAUAUUAUGUACAUAAAAAAUAUCCCACAAUUUCUCUCAUUAUCAAGUAGGCUAGGCCUCUGGUGUUACAUUUAGAAAUAACUGGGCUAUAUAGCCAGUAGCCUAAUUCUGCUAAAUGUGUAAAAAUAAUAAAUAAAUAAAUAGAGUUGCCUGGAAAUACUCUUAUAACGUCAAUCCACCUUGCUACAGUAUGUGAAGUAGCUUUCUUUCUUUCAAGUGGAUUGGCUACAACCCCAUCGGAUUACUCUGAUUGGAGCGGUCUCUUGUCAACCAACGCAUGAGCUCCAGCUCCAUGCUCUACGAUCACGUUUCCUCGAGACAAAUAGGCAUCGCUUUAGGAUGCUGAACAAGGUACUGCUGUCGCAUCAGGACCAGAAGUCUGAAUGGGAUGGGGACGAUAAAAGAGAUGUAAAUGGAGAAGCAGAAGUGUCAAGAAGAAAAACAGGACAUCUGCACGGCUGCAAACCGGAUUUGCGUUAAAAGGCCAACAACAACAUCCCACCACUUUCCUCUAAUGCAAUCCAUAACUGACAAUUAAUGUCAAGCAGCACAUCGGUGCAGCAUUAUGCUGCCUUGCUGGAAGGAACACUGCUAAUGGAAAGAAAACCUUAUAAGAUUCAAUGCAUUAA
rnacentral:lncRNA from 1 species